AAGCCCCGGCUAACUUCGUGCCAGCAGCCGCGGUAAUACGAAGGGGGCUAGCGUUGCUCGGAAUGACUGGGCGUAAAGGGCGCGUAGGCGGUUGUUACAGUCAGAUGUGAAAUCCCCGGGCUUAACCUGGGAACUGCAUUUGAUACGUGACGACUAGAGUUCGAGAGAGGGUUGUGGAAUUCCCAGUGUAGAGGUGAAAUUCGUAGAUAUUGGGAAGAACACCGGUGGCGAAGGCGGCAACCUGGCUCGAUACUGACGCUGAGGCGCGAAAGCGUGGGGAGCAAACAGGAUUAGAUACCCUGGUAGUCCACGCUGUAAACGAUGUGUGCUGGAUGUUGGGAAA
rnacentral:rRNA from 1 species